rnacentral:rRNA from 1 species
UACGUAGGGGGCAAGCGUUGUCCGGAUUUAUUGGGCGUAAAGAGCGUGUAGGCGGCUAGGUAGGUCCGCUGUGAAAACUCGAGGCUCAACCUCGAGACGUCGGUGGAAACCAUCUAGCUAGAGUCCGGAAGAGGAGAGUGGAAUUCCCGGUGUAGCGGUGAAAUGCGCAGAUAUCGGGAGGAAUACCGAUGGCGAAGGCAGGUCUCUGGGCUGACACUGACGCUCAUGCACGAAAGCGUGGGGAGCAAACAGG